rnacentral:rRNA from 1 species
AGGAGCCUGGAGACAGGUGCUGCAUGGCUGUCGUCAGCUCGUGUCGUGAGAUGUUGGGUUAAGUCCCGCAACGAGCGCAACCUUGUCUUUAGUUGCCAUCAUUCAGUUGGGCACUCUAAAGAGACGUGCCGGUGUCAAACCGGAGGAAGGUGGGGAUGGACGUCAAGUCCUCAUGGCCUUUAUGACCAGGGCUACACACGUACUACAAUGGCCGGUACAAAGGGCAGCCACUUAGCGAUAAGGAGCCAAUCCCGUAAAGCCGGUCUCAGUCCGGAUUGGAGUCUGCAACUCGACUCCAUGAAGUUGGAAUCGCUAGUAAUCGCAGAUCAGCACGCUGCGGUGAAUACGUUCCCGGGCCUU